rnacentral:rRNA from 1 species
GAUGAACGCUGGCGGCGUGCCUAAUACAUGCAAGUCGAACGAAAAGACGCUGCUCUUGCGCGUUCCUCGAGAGGCGAACACGGGUGUGUCACGUGUGUAUCCUGUCCCUGUCUGUGGGAUAUCUCUUCGAAACUGCGGCUAAUACACGAUAUGAUAUUCUGCUGCACGUGGGUGGUUGGUAAGUUUUGGCGGUUGUGGCUGGACUCGAGGCAUAUCAGCCUGCUGGUGGGGUAGUCGCUUACAAAGGCUAUGGCGGGUAGCCGGCCUGAGAGCGUGACCGGCCACAUUGGGACUGAGAUACGGACCAGAAUCCUACGGGCGGCAGCAGUGGGGAGUAUUGCACAAUGGGCGGAAGCCUGAUGCAGCAACGCCGCGUGCGGGAUGCCGGCCUUCGGGUUGUAAACCGCUUUCGCCUGUGACGAAGCGUGAGUGACGGUAAUGGGUCAAGAAGCACCGGCUAACUACGUG